GCCACCGAGGAGCGUUGCGACCCGAAUCGAGCUGAUUCGGGCCAGGCUCGGCGGCAGGGUCGACUUUUCCAACGGCGCUCACUCACG
rnacentral:ncRNA from 2 species